rnacentral:rRNA from 1 species
UAGGGAAUAUUGGACAAUGGGUGAGAGCCUGAUCCAGCCAUGCCGCGUGCAGGAAGAAGGCGUUAUGCGUUGUAAAACUGCUUUUGCCAGGGGAUAAAAUGAGCGUGCGCGCUUAAUUGAAGGUACCUGGUGAAUAAGCCCCGGCAAACUUCGUGCCAGCAGCCGCGGUAAUACGAAGGGGGCUAGCGUUGUUCGGAAUUACUGGGCGUAAAGCGCACGUAGGCGGAUUGUUAAGUCAGAGGUGAAAUCCCGGAGCUCAACUUCGGAACUGCCUUUGAUACUGGCAAUCUAGAGUCCGGAAGAGGUUAGUGGAAUUCCCAGUGUAGAGGUGAAAUUCGUAGAUAUUGGGAAGAACACCAGUGGCGAAGGCGGCUAACUGGUCCGGUACUGACGCUGAGGUGCGAAAGCGUGGGGAGCAAACAGGAUUAGAUACCCCAGUAGUCCCUGAGCGGGCUGGCAAGGCGCAU